CUUUGUUCGGAUGUGUCCAGAGCCUCAGCUGGGGAUUCAAAUGGCUGGUGGCUGGAAGAGCUGGGGCCACAGGGCCCGCUAACAAUUCUCAGGCCUUGAGGCUGGGCUGGUGGAACGUGACAGCUGGGUUAACUGGGCCAACUCACCAGAGCAUCUCCAUGUGGCCUCUGCGUGUGGCUUAAGCUUUUCACAAAAUGGCAGUUGGGUUCUCCUGGGCUGGAUUUCCUGAGAGGAGACCUCCAAGGUGAGCACUGCAGGACCAGUGGGAGCUGUGUAGACUUUGCCACCUUCACUUCAGAGGUCACACAGUGCCCCAUUGGCAGGGCUCAAUUGCUCAAAGCAUUCACAAGCCUGCCCAGAUAUAAAGGACAGCCCGUCUCUUAAUGGAGAAGCAUCAAAGAAUGAGGACCCCAGCCACCAUGAGAGAUUUGACUGGGGAGACAUGCAGUCAACGAGACCCAAGUGGAGUGGAGCAAGGAUGCUGGGGAGAGACAAGCACGCUGACCCUUGCUUCC
rnacentral:lncRNA from 1 species